ACCGCCUGAGCACUCGGGCGCCAGGCGGUGACACCGCUCGGUUUGGCGGUGGCACCGACCGAGCGACCUUUAUUAACCCGAGGGGUUAGGGCCGGCGGUGACACCGCCCCCAACCCGAAGAAAAAGCUAUCAAAGCCCUCUCCCAUUCCCCCUAACCCUCAUUCUAACUCUUAGAAGCAUUGGAGAAGGAUUCUUGGUGGUCCAAGCUCUCCAUCUCUCAA
rnacentral:lncRNA from 1 species